rnacentral:rRNA from 1 species
CAAUGCAGCCAUAUCACCUUGCAGCCCAAGAUUGGUUACCCACUGAAGCUAACCAGGGUUGAGUCUGGUCAGUACCUGGAUGGGAGACAUCCUGGGAAAACUCAACCUGUGGUCU